UCCACCUGGUUUUACCCCCAUUGCCACCACCAGCAGCAGCAGCUGAUGGCUCUGCAGCAUUCAUCUUCUGCUGCAUCAUGGACUUCAAUUCCUUCUUAAACUUGCAUAUUUCACCACCCAUUUGCUUUGUUUCUCUCUCUCUCUCUCUCUCUCUCUCUCUCUCUCCUUUGCUCAAAAUCAGAGAGCAGUAAAGAAAUGGCGUUUUUUUUCUUCUGGGUAAAGCAGAUGUCUGUAUGUUAGUUUAUAAAUACGGAGAAGAACCAGAGAGUUGGGUGGACAAAAAGCUUCUGGAAGGUUUGUGGGGCAGUGGCCUUUUGGGAAACUGAGAUUGAAUUGGCAGGUUUUUUUAGCUCCCAGAUUUGUGGCACUGGUUUUUCUAAAUCCGCUGGAUUCUCUGGUUUUUCUGUCGUUCUAGCAU